rnacentral:lncRNA from 1 species
GGAACCACUCAGGCUGAGUAUGGGUGGAGAGCAAGGGUGCAACAAGAGCAGUGUUAGUCCCAUUUCUGGUAAACUCUUUUGCUAAGCAAAGGGGUGUUGUUGUCAUUAGCCAUUGCUGUUGAAGCCUUGGUAAGAGCUGUGGAAGCCAAAAGCAAUACCUUAAUGCAGUACAGAAUAAGGCCUGGGAGCUGCUGGUUACAGUUGUUGUACCAUUGGAGAAAGGAAAUUGCUUCAACAUCACUUGAUAAAGCCAGAGGAUGGUACCACUGAGAAGGUGGUACCUUCUACCCUGCUAUGGGAAUUUGUUCAUCCAAAAUUUUCUUGAACUUUGGCAUUCUACAUCCCUGGAUUCAGAGAAGGUAGCCAAGGAUUUCUGCAUCUUUUAAGUCGAAUUUCGACAGUCCCACCCCACCUUGGAGCUGUGCAGCAGUGUAACAGGAG